rnacentral:misc_RNA from 1 species
GGCGUCGUGAAACAUCCGUACAGACACGGUACGCAACGCUCGCAGAGUCUCAACCGUGGGCAUUCGCUGUCGCGCUCCGAUGGCACUUGGUGACAUCACGGGACCGCGGGCAGCAUAGUGCAGUGCGCCGAGUGCGGCACGCGCACGAUGGGCAACAAGCUGUCGUCGUGCUCAUGCGCGCCCAUCCUUCGCAAGGCGUACCGCUAUGAGGACAGCCCGUGGCAGAAUUCACGCCGUCGAGAUGGACAUUUAUUGAGGCUAUGGGCAGAGGUAUUCCACGUGUCUGCAAGCGGCGCGGGCACAGUGAAGUGGCAGCAAGUAUCCGAGGACCUGGUACCAGUUAACAUCGCUUGCAUUCAGGACUCUCCAGAAUGCGUUUUUCACAUUACCGCAUACAAUUCGCAAGUCGACAAGAUCCUCGACGUACGACUAUUGCAGCCUGGCACUCGGAUUGGGCAGGCAUCUGAAUGCUUCGUGUACUGGAAAGAUCCGAUGACCAAUGACACCUGGGGCUUAAACUUCACUUCGCCCAUCGAUGCUAAACAAUUUCGAGAAUGCUGCUCACCGUCAUUCAAAUUCUCACGUAAGGCAUCUUCAAGCUACAGCCUCAAACUGGAGCCACCGGGUAACAAGCAGAAAUUUAAAGCCAAACGAAAACCACUCUCUACUCCUGCAAGUCCAAACAGAUCAAGUUUGACGUACGGUCGUGAGCCACAGUGUACGUGUAUGACUCAAGAACAAUAUGCACGAUUGAGAGCUCAAGAUCCCCGAUAUCGCUCGUCUACUCUGCCACGUACUACGACUCGUGCUAUCGAGACCGAGGCGGGCGCUGCCGGCGGCGCCACAGGCCGGACAGACAAAGUCGCCGCUGCCACCUCAUCCACAUCGCUUUACGACAACGUCACCAAUUCACAACCAGCACACCAGGCGCCGCCUAAGCCGGCCGCACGCCAAACGGAGUCCCAACCACCAAGUCGUCCUCCGAAAUCACAGGAGACUUCAACCAUGACGACAAAUACAUCCACUGCCCCCAAAACUGUUACUGCCUCAGUUGGUACACAUAAUACUAAUAUUAACGAUGACAAUCAAGCGGGUGGAGUAACUGGAAAUGCAUCUCAGCACAGUCAAGACUUGAAGUCAGAAGGGGUACAAGCUGGUGGUACACUAACAUCAACCAAGUCUUCUGCAACUUCGACAAGACCUGGAAAAGAACAUUUGCAACAUAUGCCAAAAAGUGUCGACUAUGGUGAUGGCAACGAAUCGUCACGUGAAUCAGAUCGACAUUCGACGCAUCAUCAUAACGUUAUCAACAACAACACAUCCGGUUCACGGCGCACUAAAUCUAAAAGCACUGAAGACAUGAAUAUGGAUUCCAGUACUUUGAAGCGUAUGUUAAAACCGAUGCCUUCUACCGAGAGUCCAGUGACAUCUCCCGAGAUGGGUCGCCGCAGGUACGGUGGCGCGGCUGCAUGCCCGCCAUCUUGCGGUUCGCAUGGCCACCGUCACCCGCAGCAUGCACACCAUGGACAUUAUUCACAUGUGGUCAACAACAACAGCAGUAGACAGAGUUCACAACGUCGCGGCGUGGGUGUGGGUGCUGCUCCAAGUGGAUAUCCGGGGCGCGGGCUCUACUUGGAGUUGGGUGGAGGUGAGCGGGACAUGUCACCGCCCUCGGAUAAUGUAAUGUUCGAUAAUCAAUGUUACGCCACUACGCCUUCUUCUUCCAAUGGAAACUCCGAUCAAGAGCCUUGCCAACGCAGGGAUGGCAGACAUCAUCAUGGGAAGCCCUGCUUAUCUCGACAAACUUCACAAUCAAGCGCGACCCCAGCACCUGGUUCUCCCACGUCUCGGCUUCUUCUCGAGUAUGAAAUGCAUCUGCGGAAUACUCUCGCUAAAGGCAUGGACGCUGAGAGCUACAGUCUUCAUACCUUUGAAGCAUUAUUGAGUCAAAGCAUGGAAGAUUUAGAGUACAAUGACAACAUGCCACCAUCAAAUCAACGAAGUCCCUAUCCAUCUCGGCGUCGACCGACCCAAGAAUCCAUUCUACACUCUUUGAGAAACCUUAAGGAGGCUGCAAUAAGAGCUAGAGGACCAGCAUCACAAUGCUCAGGCGGAGGCAGUAGAUCAUCAACUCUACCCUUACCACAUCGAUUGGGCGUAGAAAGACAACUUAGUGCACGAUCCGAUCGUGAUGGUUAUUACAGUGAUCGAAAUGAGCUAAUGCGAGAACGGGAAAGGGAUAGAGAACGAGGUUACUUGAGUGAUCAUAAUUCCAGGGACCGUGUUCGAGACCGAGAUCAGGGAUACUUAAGCGAUCAUCAAUCAAGUUUCGUGAGUGCAUCUCGUUGUGCGUCCUGUAUUGGUGAAUCGGCUCGUGCAGCAUGGUACCGUCAUUCGGAUGGCUGGCGUGGGGCGCCUCCGCCGGGCCCGCGGCGGUCCCCAUGGGACUCUUUACCUAGUCUCCGACACGAGGGCAGCCUUAAUGACUCCGGCUAUAGAAGCAACAGGGCUGACAGUUUCGAACAACGGGGUGUAUUUGACCGCCAAGAUAGUGUUCGGUCAGAGUACACAAGUGAUCGAGAAUCAACUCGUUAUGGUAUCGUUCAGCAAGCUUCCAUAGAUAGUACGGACUCCAGAAUUUGCUACUUAACAUCAAGCGAGAUAUCGGACGAUGAUCGCAUGUCUCUGACAACUGCGGUGUCCGACGAAGAGGAUCCUGGUGAAAGCGCGAUGAACUCGCCGUACAAGGGCAAGCAAACCGGCGCUGCUGCAGCUUCAUUCAACUGUACUGGUGCAGUCAGGAAAGCUGGUUUUCUAAGUGUGAAGAAAUGGUUACUACGAAAGAAGCAUCAAAUUGAAUUGGCCAGAAAACGAGGGUGGAAGGGCUAUUGGGUUUGCUUGAAAGGUACUACGCUACUGUUCUAUCCUUGCGAUUCGCGAGAAGGACGCUCAGUGGAAGCAGCACCAAAACAUCUCAUCAUAGUUGAUGGUGCCAUCAUGCAACCAAUACCUGAACACCCGAAACGAGACUACAUAUUCUGCCUUAGUACAGCAUUUGGGGAUGCUUAUCUCUUUCAAGCACCAUGUCAGGUGGAGCUUGAAAAUUGGGUGAAUAGUAUACACAGUGCAUGUGCUGCAGCAUUCGCGCGUCACCGUGGGAAAACGGGAACACUACACCUACUGCAAGAGGAGAUUUAUCGCCUUGAAAAAGCUAUUGAAUCCGAUCAUAAAUUGAAACACAUGGCGGAUUUGCAACAAUCAGUGGUGUCUGAUCCAGAGACCCGUGCACAACUUGCAGUUCAAAUGCUACAAUGGGAGGAGAACUUGGAACGAUUACACUGUGAACAAUUCCGUCUAAGAUGCUAUAUGGCUAGUUUACAGUCCGGUGAACUGCCUAAUCCAAAGUCACUCCUGACGCAUGUGUCUCGUGGUACGAAGAGUACACUGAAUAAACUGGGCGUAUUCACGGUGUCAUCAUUUCACGCAUUCAUAUGUGCGCGAUCACCAUCGUUACUCAACAAUCUACUAGCAGGUCGGGGUGCUACAAAGCGUAGAGCACCUAACCUCUCAAGAUCUAAUUCCGGUUCUAGUCGACGAUCUAUGCAGAUGUCACGUGACGACGGCGAAGCGGCAGUUCGAGUAUCGCUGCCAGAAGGCACAACGGCUACUGUAGGCGUUCGUGAAGGCAUGACAGUAGAAGAGUUUCUAGCAGCAGCCUGCGCACGCCGUUCCCUUAACGCGCUCGAACAUUUUGUACGCGUAAAGAAACGACGGGAUAUGGAAGAUCACAAUUACUUCGUGCCACAUCGCAGCGACCUCAUAGAAACUUAUUUACAUACACAUGAAGUAGUGGAAGUGUGUGCCAAAAUUUUAUAUCAAGUGGAGCUGCAACGUACAACUCUCGAGCAGAUGUGGGGAUUCAGCGUGGAAGCCGAGCUUAUAGAAAAUUCAGAGAGGCAGGAUGAACUCUGUUGUUACGUUAGCAGAGUCGAAGACAAGAGCGUCGCUAUGCAAAAUGGCAUAAUCAAAGGCGACGAGAUAAUGGUGAUCAACGGAGCGAUCGUAUCUGACCUAGAUAUGAUGUACUUGGAAAGUGUGUUGCAAGAGGAGCUCUCCCUCGUCAUGAUGAUGAGGUCUUCACGAACAGAGCCGCCGGAGCUGUCGGGUAUGAUGCGCGCAGCUACUGACGAUAUAAUCGAUUCAUUGGUGUGCCCACCGCCACCCAGCGAGCCGCCCGUCAUUUCCGAUGACAUGAUAUCCGGGCUCAUUGUGCCAGCUCCAGCAUGGAGUAAAGAACUGUAUAGUCCGGAUGCAGAUCCGCACGGCGGUAGCAGUGAAGCAGUCUCCAGUGGCCCUCCAAAAGUCAGUUCUCGAACCAACUCCUUCGAGAUUGAAAAUCUACUCAAGAAAUGUGGGGGUGUUCGUGGGCAGAGCGCUGAGCAAGUGACGGGAUGGUGUCGGUCGCCGGCGGAGACGCGGCGCGGCAGCCCCACGGGCAGCGUGGCGAGCGCCGCCGCCGGCACGCCGUCGCGCCACCUCUCCGACGCCGAUAAGCUCAAGAAGGUGCUGCUCGAGCUCGUCGACACUGAACGCGCAUACGUCAAGCACCUGAACAACUUACUCGAGAACUACCUGGAACCGUUGAAAAAGGAAACUUUUUUAUCAAAUGCCGAAAUAAAUGCACUAUUCGGAAACAUACAAGAAAUCGUAACAUUCCAAAGGCAGUUUCUACAAAAUUUAGAAGAAGCUCUCGAGGCAGAACCAAAUUUCCACCACUUCGAAUUUUCAAAUCAAUUUAGAAAUGUACUCUUCGCAGUUGGCAACGCUUUUCUAUUUUACGUCAAUCAUUUUAAGUUAUACAGCUCAUUUUGUGCUAGUCACAGUAAAGCACAGAAAGUUCUACAUCCAAAUGAAGGUAAUCAGGCUUUACAAGAAUUUCUGGCUGCUAGAAAUCCUAAACAACAACAUUCAUCGACUUUAGAAUCAUAUCUAAUAAAACCUAUACAACGGAUAUUAAAAUAUCCUUUAUUACUACAACAAUUAAGAAAUUUGACUGACGUUAAUUCUGAAGAGCAUCUACAUUUAGUAGAGGCUUUAAAAGGAAUGGAAAAAGUUGCUGAACACAUCAAUGAAAUGCAACGAAUACAUGAAGAAUAUGGUGCUAUAUUUGAUCACUUGUUUAGACAACACCAAAAGUCUUGCAAGCAACCUAUAGAUCUAAGUCCUGGUGAUUUGUUAUACUACGGUGGUGUAGAAUGGUUAAAUAUUUCAGACUUUUUAGGAAAAAUAAAGAAAGGACUAGAAUUACAUGCUAUGUGCUUUGUAUUUAAAUCAGCUGUUGUCUUCCUAUGCAAAGAAAGACUGAGACAGAAGAAAAAACUAAUGGGAGUAUCAUCAAAGAAUAACUCGAACGAAGUAGAAAUCAUCAGGUACCAGGUUCUAAUACCUGUCACUGAAGUACAAGUGCGUGCAUCCUCCGCAAAAGAUAUGGACAGUCACUUUUUAUGGGAACUCAUACAUCUUAGAAGUCAACUUCAAAGGCGCUCUGAGAAAGUUUACGUUUUAUCUAACAGCACGGCGGAUUUCCGCAACGCGUUCCUGAAGACGAUACGGCAGAUAAUCCGCGAGUCGGUGCGCAACAUGUCGCUGCCGAGCACGCGGCCCGCGCCGGCGCCGCCGCGCGCCCCGCACCCGCCGCACGCGCCGCACACGCUCGACCGCGACCGCGACCGCGACCGCCCCAAGCAUCAGGUUCAAGUAAUGCAAGGAUCCCAAACUCUCGGCAAAACGAAAAAGCCCAAGACUACGGGGCAAAGGUUAUCAGCUGGUAACAUAGAGGUUGGUGAUCUGUCACGAGAAAAUUCUCAGGAUACAGAAGAACCUCCACAAGAAACAACUGACGAAGAGCCAGCUUUUAGACAUCGUAGCAAGACACUAGGUGAUACCACGGUACGACGUCGACGCUGAGUGCUGGCAGUACUGGCAGUCAAGCAAGGCUUAUUCAAUCAUCCCAUCAACCAACUCAGUACCAACCCACAAUGGUUAAAGAAUUAGGGUCGCCCGUGUGGAAACCGCGCGACAUGUUGAGCGAGGCGGGCGCGGCCGGCGCGGCGGGCGCGGCGGGCGGCGC